rnacentral:rRNA from 1 species
AUUGAACGCUGGCGGCAUGCCUUACACAUGCAAGUCGAACGGCAGCACGGGAGCAAUCCUGGUGGCGAGUGGCGAACGGGUGAGUAAUAUAUCGGAACGUGCCCAGUUGUGGGGAUAACGUAGCGAAAGCUACGCUAAUACCGCAUACGAUCUAUGGAUGAAAGCGGGGGAUCGCAAGACCUCGCGCGAUUGGAGCGGCCGAUAUCAGAUUAGGUAGUUGGUGAGGUAAAGGCUCACCAAGCCGACGAUCUGUAGCUGGUCUGAGAGGACGACCAGCCACACUGGGACUGAGACACGGCCCAGACUCCUACGGGAGGCAGCAGUGGGGAAUUUUUGGACAAUGGGCGCAAGCCUGAUCCAGCAAUGCCGCGUGCAGGAUGAAGGCCUCGG